rnacentral:rRNA from 1 species
UACGUAGGGGGCAAGCGUUGUCCGGAUUUAUUGGGCGUAAAGAGCGUGUAGGCGGCUGGGUAGGUCCGUUGUGAAAACUCGAGGCUCAACCUCGAGACGCCGAUGGAAACCCUCCAGCUAGAGUCCGGAAGAGGAGAGUGGAAUUCCUGGUGUAGCGGUGAAAUGCGCAGAUAUCAGGAAGAACACCCGUGGCGGAAGGCGGUUCUCUGGGACGGUACUGACGCUGAGACGCGAAAGCGUGGGGAGCGAACAGG